rnacentral:rRNA from 1 species
GACAGAGGGUGCAAACGUUGCUCGGAAUUACUGGGCGUAAAGCGCGUGUAGGUGGAUUGGUGUGUCAGAUGUGAAAGCCCUGGGCUCAACCCAGGAACUGCACCUGAAACUACCAGUCUUGAGUGGUGGAGAGGGAAGUGGAAUUCCUGGUGUAGCGGUGAAAUGCGUAGAUAUCCGGAGGAACACCGGUGGCGAAGGCGGCUUCCUGGACCGACACUGACGCUGAGGCGCGAAAGCUAGGGGAGCAAACGGG